rnacentral:rRNA from 1 species
AAUCAACGCUGGCGGCGUGCCUAACACAUGCAAGUCGAACGCGAAAGUCCCGCAAGGGAUGAGUAGAGUGGCAAACGGGUGAGUAACACGUGGGUGACCUGCCUUCGAGCGGGGGAUAACGUCCCGAAAGGGACGCUAAUACCGCAUGACAUCCUGCCUUUGAAGAGGUGGAGAUCAAAGCUGGGGAUCGCAAGACCUAGCACUCGAAGAGGGGCCCGCGCCUGAUUAGCUAGUUGGUGGGGUAACGGCUCACCAAGGCAACGAUCAGUAGCCGGCCUGAGAGGGCGGACGGCCACACUGGGACUGAGACACGGCCCAGACUCCUACGGGAGGCAGCAGUGGGGAAUUGUUCGCAAUGGGCGCAAGCCUGACGACGCAACGCCGCGUGGAGGACGAAGACGUCGGGUCGUAAACUCCUUUCGAUCGAGACGAA